rnacentral:rRNA from 1 species
AGGGCACCGCCAGGAGUGGAGCCUGCGGCUUAAUUUGACUCAACACGGGAAAACUCACCCGGCCCGGACACCGUAAGGAUUGACAGAUUGAGAGCUCUUUCUUGAUUCGGUGGUUGGUGGUGCAUGGCCGUUCUUAGUUGGUGGAGCGAUUUGUCUGGUUUAUUCCGAUAACGAACGAGACUCUGGCCUACUAAAUAGAGACAGGAUUAUUACUGUCCUGGAUUCUUCUUAGAGGGACAAGUGGUUUUCAGCCACACGAAAUUGAGCAAUAGCAGGUCUGUGAUGCCCUUAGAUGUCCGGGGCUGCACGCGCGCUACACUGAAGGAAUCAGCGUGCUAAAACCAUUGUCGAAAGGCAUUGGUAAACCCCUCAAAAUCCUACGUGAUUGGGAUCGGGAAUUGCAAUUAUUUCCCUUGAACGAGGAAUUCCCAGUAAGUGUGGGUCAUAAGCUCGCGUUGAUUACGUCCCUGCCCUUUGUACACACCGCCCGUCGCUGCCCGGGACUGAGCCGUUUCGAGA